rnacentral:rRNA from 1 species
GACGAACGCUGGCGGCGGGCUUAACACAUGCAAGUCGAACGGAAAGGCCCUGCUUUUUUGUGGUUCUCGAGUGGCGAACGGGUGAAUAACACGGGAGUAACCUUCCCUGUGCGGGGUGAUGACUGCAGGAAACUGGUACUAAUACCGGAUAGGUGCUCCUGCUACAUGGGGGGGGUUGGAAAUUUUAGGCGGAGGGGGAUGGACUCGCGGCUUAUCAGCUGGUUGGUGGGGGAGUGGCUUACCAGGGCUUUGAAGGAUAGCCGGCAUGAGAGGGUGAACGGCCACAUUGGGACUGAGAUACGGAGCAGUCUGCUACGGGAGGCAGCAGUGGGGAAUAUUGCACAAUGGGGGGAAGUGUGAUGAAGAAACGCCGCGAUCGGGAUGAAGGCCUUGGGGUUGUAAACCGCAUUAAGUUGUGACGAAGCGUUAGUGACGUUAAUGGGUAAAGAAGCACCGGCUAACUACGUG